GAUGAACGCUGGCGGCGUGCCUAAUACAUGCAAGUCGAGCGAACGGACGAGAAGCUUGCUUCUCUGAUGUUAGCGGCGGACGGGUGAGUAACACGUGGAUAACCUACCUAUAAGACUGGGAUAACUUCGGGAAACCGGAGCUAAUACCGGAUAAUAUUUUGAACCGCAUGGUUCAAAAGUGAAAGACGGUCUUGCUGUCACUUAUAGAUGGAUCCGCGCUGCAUUAGCUAGUUGGUAAGGUAACGGCUUACCAAGGCAACGAUGCAUAGCCGACCUGAGAGGGUGAUCGGCCACACUGGAACUGAGACACGGUCCAGACUCCUACGGGAGGAAGCAGUAGGGAAUCUUCCGCAAUGGGCGAAAGCCUGACGGAGCAACGCCGCGUGAGUGAUGAAGGUCUUCGGAUCGUAAAACUCUGUUAUUAGGGAAGAACAUAUGUGUAAGUAACUGUGCACAUCUUGACGGUACCAAAUCAGAAAGCCACGGCUAACUACGUG
rnacentral:rRNA from 1 species